GGCUGCGUAGUUCAACUGGAUAGAAUAUCAGAUUUCGGCUCUGAGGGUUGGGGGUUCGAACCCCUCCGCAGUCACCU
rnacentral:tRNA from 2 species